AGGACGAACGCUGGCGGCGUGCUUAACACAUGCAAGUCAAGGGGGCCCAGCAAUGGGCAACCGGCGAACGGGUGCGUAACACGUGAGCAGCCUACCGAACUGUGGGGGAUAGCCGGCCUAACGGCCGAGUAAUACCGCAUACGCUCUCAGUGAGGCAUUUCAUUGAGAGGAAACCUACGGGACAGAUCGAGGGGCUCGCGGCCUAUCAGCUAGUUGGCGAGGUAACGGCUCACCAAGGCAACGACGGGUAGCUGGU
rnacentral:rRNA from 1 species